rnacentral:rRNA from 1 species
GACGAACGCUGGCGGCGUGCUUAACACAUGCAAGUCGAACGGAAAGGCCCUGCUUUUGUGGGGUGCUCGAGUGGCGAACGGGUGAGUAACACGUGAGUAACCUGCCCUUGACUUUGGGAUAACUUCAGGAAACUGGGGCUAAUACCGGAUAGGAGCUCCUGCUGCAUGGUGGGGGUUGGAAAGUUUCGGCGGUUGGGGAUGGACUCGCGGCUUAUCAGCUUGUUGGUGGGGUAGUGGCUUACCAAGGCUUUGACGGGUAGCCGGCCUGAGAGGGUGACCGGCAAAAUUGGGACUGAGAUACGGCCCAGACUCCUACGGGAGGCAGAAGUGGGGAAUAUUGCAAAAUGGGCGGAAGCCUGAUGCAGCAACGCCGCGUGCGGGAUGACGGCCUUCGGGUUGUAAACCGCUUUCGCCUGUGACGAAGCGUGAGUGACGGUAAUGGGUAAAGAAGCACCGGCUAACUACGUG